CCUGGGCUCAAAUUUAGGGCUUGUCCAGGAAACUCACAUUUUCCCGGAUGGCCCUGAGGUCGUCCAACUGCUGCUCCAGUUCCCCAACAUGUUCAUUCAGGAGCUGCAACUGGACACAAUUUCUG